GUAGGUGGCAAGCGUUGUCCGGAAUUAUUGGGCGUAAAGCGCGCGCAGGCGGUUCUUUAAGUCUGAUGUGAAAGCCCACGGCUCAACCGUGGAGGGUCAUUGGAAACUGGAGAACUUGAGUACAGAAGAGGAAAGCGGAAUUCCACGUGUAGCGGUGAAAUGCGUAGAGAUGUGGAGGAACACCAGUGGCGAAGGCGGCUUUCUGGUCUGUAACUGACGCUGAGGCGCGAAAGCGUGGGGAGCAACCAGGAUUAGAUACCCUGGUAGUCCACGCCGUAAACGAUGAGUGCUAAGUGUUAGGGGGGUUUUCCGCCCCCCUUAGUGCUGCAGCUAACGCAUUAAGCACUCCGCCUGGGAGUACGGCCGCGAGGCUG
rnacentral:rRNA from 1 species